rnacentral:rRNA from 1 species
ACAUGCAAGUCGAACGGCAGCACGGGUGCUUGCACCUGGUGGCGAGUGGCGGACGGGUGAGUAAUACAUCGGAACGUGUCCAGAAGAGGGGGAUAACGCAUCGAAAGAUGUGCUAAUACCGCAUAUGCUCUGAGGAGGAAAGUAGGGGAUCGAAAGACCUUACGCUUUUGGAGCGGCCGAUGUCUGAUUAGCUAGUUGGUGGGGUAAGGGCCUACCAAGGCGACGAUCAGUAGUUGGUCUGAGAGGACGACCAGCCACACUGGGACUGAGACACGGCCCAGACUCCUACGGGAGGCAGCAGUGGGGAAUUUUGGACAAUGGGCGCAAGCCUAAUCCAGCAAUGCCGCGUGAGUGAAGAAGGCCUUCGGGUUGUAAAGCUCUUUCAGUCGAGAAGAAAAGGCUGCAGUGAAUAACUGUAGUUUAUGACGGUAUCGACAGAAGAAGCACCGGCUAACUACGUG